UAAAGGUGGAAUGUUUCAGGACGAGAUAUGUUCUCUUCAAUGGGAUACCCAGCUAAUGUCCAAAUAGAAAAUUUCUGUACAAUGGUACUCCAAUGAUGAAAUGCCGAAUUUCUCCACCUGAGGGCGCUGACUGCUGGCCUGCCUCGACCACGCCCCCUCAGGUGUACGCCUGACUCGGGCCCCGCCCCCUCAGGUGUACUCCUGACUCGGGCCCCGCCCCCUCACCUGAAUCGCAGGUUCUGCAGGCAAGAUGGCGGCGAGGUGAGUUUGUACUCCUCCUGUUGCUACAUUUUAUUUUCCAUUUUUUUGUAUUAUUUGUUUAUUUUUUUCUUUCCCUGUGGGAUAGCCUAGGAAGCAUACAUAGCGUUUGUUUUCCAAACCCGAAGGGACUUCUGCAUUGCUCUUUCUCUGUUUGGGAGGAUAAGGGGAUUUGGCGUUUUAAAGGAUCUCUGAUCAUGUACCGGUGAACCUGGAGUCUGGUCUCCAAGUAACCACACUUCAAUAUGGUGUACGAUCAUUACGCUACUACGCAUGGUGGUGUUGCUCUGGGUCCAGCGUUUGCUUAUACCUGCCGACGCUACUGAUUAAGUUUAAAUGGAAAACGAUGUUGCUGUUGCUCUGGGUUCAUUCGCCAUGCUGUUCCAGCUUCUCGUUGACGGUAUCCGUUGCCAUGGUGAUGAGGAGGAGUAAUGUAAUGUCUUGUUGAUUUAAACAAUAUUUGUAUAUUUUAUAAUUCUGUUGACGUUGUUUUAUAUUCUAGUAAAUACAGCCUAAUUGCUACAGCAGUAUUUGUGCAAUUGUAAUAACACGCUGUCGUUGCUAAUGUUUGCAAGUGUUACAUUUACAGUAUGCCUCAUUUGUUUCCUUAUAUGUUUCUGUCAAUUGAUUCAAUAAA